rnacentral:rRNA from 1 species
CAGUAGCCACGGGAAUACAGAGGGUGCAAGCGUUAAUCGGAAUUACUGGGCGUAAAGCGCGCGUAGGUGGUUUGUUAAGUUGGAUGUGAAAUCCCCGGGCUCAACCUGGGAACUGCAUCCAAAACUGGCAAGCUAGAGUAUGGUAGAGGGUGGUGGAAUUUCCUGUGUAGCGGUGAAAUGCGUAGAUAUAGGAAGGAACACCAGUGGCGAAGGCGACCACCUGGACUGAUACUGACACUGAGGUGCGAAAGCGUGGGGAGCAAACAGGAUUAGAUACCCCGGUAGUCCCUGUCUCUUAUAA